ensembl:lncRNA
GAAACCGAGAGGAGGGGACGUGGUGUCAGGUUCUGUGUAAGCCCGUUGUCCUGCCCGUGUUAUCAUGUGACGGUGACUUCUGACCGAACCGAACCAUAACAAAUAUUCACAAUGGGUUAAAAUGAAGUAAAUUUGGGGUUUGUGUUGUGCGCAUGCGCAACGUAUGCGCAGAAACAACGGGUAGGAUGGAUUGUGAGGUAGGAUGGAUUCCCGGAACACCUGGGCUGUGUCCCUUUUGACAGUUCACUCUUCGGCCGCUCCCUUCUGCCGUAUUUUGCGGCAAAAUGAUCCACACCAACCGCCGCGCUAUGGAUUGUGGGAUAUAUGGGGCCACGAAGCGUGCACCGGACUACGCUUGAUAUUUGGGGAAAUCGACGGCGCAUUUGGAGUAUGCAUUUGAAGUGCACUUCGAAUUGGGACAGCCGUCGUCGCGUGGCGGUGACGUAAUCGCACUUAAAAUGCGUACUUCAAGCGUGCAUACCCUGAAUUGGGACACAGCUCUGGUCUCAGGUACGCGCAGGUGCGUUCCCCACCUCAGUGAGGCUCGCAGGUGGAAGCUGCGGCUUCAGGCAAAACCACACCCAUCACGGCGGUGAUGUCACACUGUUUAAACCUGAGGAGCUUCACAAAUCAACAUUAAUCCUCAGACCUGCAGCAGCCGUGAGAGGAGCGACACACAGCAUUCAGUCACAGACCAACGUUUUCCAUCAUGUCCCUCUCAUUUCAUCAUUUAUUGAUCCGCUCGACGCUGCAAACAUCUGCACAGAUGUGAGCCACUCCUCCGCUGGACCAUCAGAGCGCUGGAGACACGGCGAGGAAUCUCUCAGCGAUUAGAAAUCAGUCCUGCGGCUCAGUGCAGAUUCAUAUCAGCUGGUUCAGACCCAACUGAAAUGUGCGUUAUUGCCGCGUGUCCCACAGGGUGAAACCGUGAGCUCUCUCCAGAUCUUCAAACUUUCUUGUUUCAAACAGUGAGCGUGUGGGGCCACAGUUCAUCAUCACAGACCAUCAGGUGCUCCUCACACACAGAGGAGGACAGAAACACCUGGACCAGCAGGUGUGACUGUCUGAAGUAAUGCACUCAAGCAGCACGGCUGUACGCAUGCUUACCUCCACGACUCCAUCACUGAAGACAAAGCCAAUCAGCUGAGCUGAAUCCACCUGACACAAAGAACAAAGCAUGUCUUUAUCCUGUCUUCCUUCUCUCACCCCAACCAAUCACAGCAGAUGGCCCCGCCCCUCCCUGAGCCUGGUUCUGCCGGAGGUUUCUUCCUGUUAAAAGGGAGUUUUUCCUUCCCACUGUCGCCAAAGUGCUUGCUCAUAGGGGUCAUAUGAUUGUUCGGUUUUUCUCUGUAUGUAUUAUUGUGCGAUCUACUGUACAAUAUAAAGUGCUUUGAGGUGACUUCUGUUGUGAUUUGGCGCUAUAUAAAUAAAAUUGAAUUGAAUUGAAUUGAAUUAUGAUUUUAAAACCUUUUAUCAACUAUUUAUAUUUUAACCAUUUUUUAUAACCG